UUGAUAAAGAUCAACCAAAUGUCUUGGUACAUGGCAAGCUUUUGAGCAGUGCCCUUUUCCACUGCAACGAUAGCAUAUUGUUUCUGAACUAUUUGCCUUUGGAUUCUCAUAAUCCCGUUUCUGCUUGUGGUGGUUAUUUCUCUUUGGGGAUGACGGACAUUAGGGAAAUUUCUUCCUUGUCUACGUCCAUGGCUAUGACCCCGAUUACGACCACGACCAUGACUAGAUCCAUGGCCUUUUCCAUGCUUGGCAUAAUGAGAAU
rnacentral:lncRNA from 1 species